UAGUACACUUAGAUUUAAUUUAUAAAUACUAGAAUAUUAGGAGUUAUGUUCUUUAAAUUUAAGAAAUUUGGCGGUGUUUUAGUCUAGUUAGAGGAACCUGUUUUAUAAACGAUACAACACGCAUUAUUUUACUUGUUUUUGUAAAUCAGCUUGUAUACCGUCAUUAUAAGAUAAUUUAGGAGAAAAUAUUAUUGGGAUCAUAUUAUUGAGUAUAUUAGAUCAAGGUGCAGCUUAUAGAUAAGUAAAUAUGGGUUACAAUAAAAUUUAUUUAUUAUGAAUUAAGUAUUUAAAUAUAUUUAUGAAGGAGGAUUUAAUUGUAAGAGGGGGAGUAGUGAGAUUUUCUGAUAUAAGCUCUAAAUUAU
rnacentral:rRNA from 1 species